UUAAAUUAGUAUGUAGGUUUGGAUGGUUUAUAGGAGAUGUCUCCUAAAUAAAAAAAUAAAAAAAAUAAAGAUACAAAAUUUAUGGAUAUUACACACAUGGGGCUAGACACUUUUCCCCAAAAUAUUAGUGAUAGGGGAUGGAAAAGUGUUUCUUUUGAUAGUGGAUAUAUUUAAUCUAACAUCUAUAGACGAAUUGGUUUGUAGCUACAUUUAUUCUACAUUGAUGCCCCAUAAGCAACUAUUUUAUUACCUAAUAUUAACGCUGAUCAUUAAUAAUUAUCAGUACAGUAUUUUAUAUAUAAGUACCGCAGUAGAAAAGUUCAAGUUCGAUUUAUCCAGGUGAAAUUAUGACAUCACCAUCAAAACAAUCAUUUAAUUCUAAAAAUGUGUUUACAGAUGGUUCUUGCCAAAAGAAAAACCUAAUAGUAUUAUAAGUAGUGGGAAGUUAUAGACCACCCUCCUUGUACCUAUUGGCACAAAUUAAUCAGUAUUACGUUAGAAGGAAAUGGAAGUUUAUGUGUUUCAACAUAAAAGUUAGGGGCUGUGAAGGAUACACUCCAGAGAAAAGAUUUUUAACAGAAUAUUUCCUAACUGAUUGCUUUUACAGUCCAAUUCUUUUUUAAUAAAACAUGUGAGAACCAUGCAGAAUGAUUGAAAUGUGCUGUGCUAAAGGUGUACCGUAUAUAACCUACCUGAAUAAUAGUGCCAAAUUAUCAUCUAGAUUUAUUUCUCCCCCACUUCUCACCUGUAAAUCCAUCGCCACUUGAAAUGUAUAAACAAUUCACUAUCUCAGCUGUUCCUAAUUGUGUGAUGUGUUUAUUGUUGGUAGUUAGCAGAGACUGGAGUAUUUUCGGUGUAAUUUUCGCACUUUUCUGACAGGAAAAAAAUAAAGUUGGAUGUGUCUGAACAUUGUUGCUUUGUCUAAUUAUUCCAGGAUAAUUGGAAAAGAAAAACGACCCGCUGAUGUAAAUAUUUCUAAUUAUCAUCCAUCCAUAGGAAACUACAGUCUGCUCUGCACACACAUUUACG